UAACAAUGAAAGUGACAAGUAUUUAACAAGGCUAAAAUAUUGUGUGUACAUCUAGAAUUAUUCCCCUUGUAUUUAUAGUAGUCACACUGAGUCACUAACUCAAUCGGUAGCGGUGGGGGUAGGGGUGGUGGCAUGACCCCCUAGCUCCCGUCCUUUCUUAACUACGCCACAUGCUAUAAGUAUAAGCAAAACCACGAAAAAGUCAAGAUUUGUAUGAUAUUUUUUUACUAUAUUAACACACCACACACUAUUUUUGCUUCCAUUAAUGAUCAAACCCUCAAUCUCAUAGAAAUCAUGAGACGAGUCGUAGCAUUGAACCAAAUACUAUAUGGUAGAUUAUAUGAAUUUUGGGUUCUAAUUAAACUAGAAUUAAAAUGUUAACUCAGUACUCUUGGAAAUUUUAAGCUACAUUAAGUCGCAUGUGCGCGCUGUAGAAUGGAAGUGCUUUAAGAUGUGAUGAUGUUGGGGAUCAGUACUGAGUAGCAUGCUUGAAAGAAAUCUGAAAACAAAGUUGCACCGUGAAGUUUAGCCUCUUGAUGAGCUGCAUCUGCAUCCAUUAAUAUAACUCAAUGGAAAUAAAUGAGAUUAAUUUUGUAUACCUUAAUGUUGAAUGUUCCAAGAGAAUAAUUUUCUACCAAUAUUUGUUGGGCUGAGUGGAAGGAGCUCGGGAGUAAGGUCUCGAGUUCAAGUCUUG
rnacentral:lncRNA from 1 species